rnacentral:rRNA from 1 species
GAUGAACGCUGGCGGCGUGCCUAAUACAUGCAAGUCGAGCGAACAGACGAGGAGCUUGCUCCUCUGACGUUAGCGGCGGACGGGUGAGUAACACGUGGAUAACCUACCUAUAAGACUGGGAUAACUUCGGGAAACCGGAGCUAAUACCGGAUACUAUAUUGAACCGCAUGGUUCAAUAGUGAAAGACGGUUUUGCUGUCACUUAUAGAUGGAUCCGCGCCGCAUUAGCUAGUUGGUAAGGUAACGGCUUACCAAGGCGACGAUGCGUAGCCGACCUGAGAGGGUGAUCGGCCACCCUGGAACUGAGACACGGUCCAGACUCCUAAGGGAGGCAGCAGUAGGGAAUCGUCCGCAAUGGGCGAAAGCCUGACGGAGCAACGCCGCGUGAGUGAUGAAGGUCUUCGGAUCGUAAAACUCUGUUAUUAGGGAAGAACAAAUGUGUAAGUAACUAUGCACGUCUUGACGGUACCUAAUCAGAAAGCCACGGCUAACUACGUG